rnacentral:rRNA from 1 species
UGGUAGUCCACGCCGUAAACGAUGUUGAACUUGGAGGUUGUGCCCUUGAGGCGUGGCUUCCGGAGCUAACGCGUUAAGUCGACCGCCUGGGGAGUACGGCCGCAAGGUUAAAACUCAAAUGAAUUGACGGGGGCCCGCACAAGCGGUGGAGCAUGUGGUUUAAUUCGAUGCAACGCGAAGAACCUUACCUACUCUUGACAUCCAGAGAACUUUCCAGAGAUGGAUUGGUGCCUUCGGGAACUCUGAGACAGGUGCUGCAUGGCUGUCGUCAGCUCGUGUUGUGAAAUGUUGGGUUAAGUCCCGCAACGAGCGCAACCCUUAUCCUUUGUUGCCAGCGGUCCGGCCGGGAACUCAAAGGAGACUGCCAGUGAUAAACUGGAGGAAGGUGGGGAUGACGUCAAGUCAUCAUGGCCCUUACGAGUAGGGCUACACACGUGUUACAAUGGCGCAUACAAAGAGAAGCGACCUCGCGAGAGCAAGCGGACCUCAUAAAGUGCGUCGUAGUCCGGAUUGGAGUCUGCAACUCGACUCCAUGAAGUCGGAAUCGCUAGUAAUCGUAGAUCAGAAUGCUACGGUGAAUACGUUCCCGGGCCUUGUACACACCGCCCGUCACACCAUGGAGUAGUUGCACGGAAGUCGGUAGCUU